rnacentral:tRNA from 1 species
UCCCGAGUAGCUCAGCGGCGAGAGCGCCUGGUCCACACCCAGGAGAUCGCAGGUUCGAGUCCGGCCUCGGGAACCA